GAUGAACGCUGGCGGCGUGCCUAAUACAUGCAAGUCGAGCGAACAGACGAGGAGCUUGCUCCUUCGACGUUAGCGGCGGACGGGCGAGUAACACGUAGGUAACCUACCUAUAAGACUGGGAUAACUUCGGGAAACCGGAGCUAAUACCGGAUAAUAUUUCGAACCGCAUGGUUCGAUAGUGGAAGAUGGCUUUGCUAUCACUUAUAGAUGGACCUGCGCCGUAUUAGCUAGUUGGUAAGGUAACGGCUUACCAAGGCAACGAUACGUAGCCGACCUGAGAGGGUGAUCGGCCACACAGGAACUGAGACACGGUCCAGACUCCUACGGGAGGCAGCAGUAGGGAAUCUGCCGCAAUGGGCGAAAGCCUGACGGAGCAACGCCGCGUGAGUGAUGAAGGUCUUCGGAUCGUAAAACUCUGUUAUUAGGGAAGAACAAACGUGUAAGUAACUGUGCACGUCUUGACGGUACCUAAUCAGAAAGCCACGGCUAACUACGUG
rnacentral:rRNA from 1 species